GACGACGGAUGCGCAAUCGCUUUACAUUUAUUGUGAAGAGGAAAGUCCGAACUUUAACUGCAAAAAAGCAUAGGCAUUAUUGCAGAAAACGGUAGCAGGUAAUACCUGUCGCCCGCAAGGGCAGAGGUGCGAACAGAGACGCCUUUUCCGGAGACGGAAAAAGUAUCCUGAAAAAAGGAUAAGCUUUUGUAGUAAUGCAGAAGAUGAAACGGCUAAAUCCUUACUGGAAAGCAAGACUGAAGUAUAGUCGCUUGACCGUUAAAAGUGAUUUUAGCGGCAGAGAAAUGAUUGCGUUUUUAAAAUUUAUUUUUAAAAAACAGAAUUCGGCUUAUAAUCCGUCUUUGUUU
rfam:Candidatus Endomicrobium trichonymphae strain CET450 CET450_Contig2234, whole genome shotgun sequence.